ACUCCGACCACGGCUUUGCUGCAUACAUAUAUUGGAGAUGUCCAAAGACUUGGCCGGCCUCAGGCAUCGCUUCUGCCUCUCUCUUCAGAAAGCUAUACGUAAAAGACCUUCUCCCUGGGACGGCGCGUGGAUGUUCGAGGAAGGGGGCGAAUUAUUCUGAAGAAGAGGUAGGACUUACGCAUUUAGGCGACCUUCCACGUGUGCUCCCAGUUACUGGAUUGCUUGGAGAAACACCGAGAUUAUCUUCUCGUCCUGCGAAUUGGUCUCAACACAGUCAGUAGAUUCAACCUAAAGACACUAACUAGUCAACAAGCGGUGUCUUGCGAGGAGGGACAAUCACUUUUCAGUCCUUCGCCUGACCCCCUGGGCACCCUUAGGGCCCUCGGGCCAUCCAUCGAACUCUUUGAGAGGCUGAGGACGGGACAGGUCGUACCAUACUUGGCCAGCUUCUUGAAUUCCUCGGCGUUAGUGUAGAGGGCUUUCCAAAUGGUAUCGUCAGAAAUGUGACCCUCGUCGGUCCCAGACAACUGGAUAAGACAGGUGAAGAGGGGACUACGCAUUGGGCAUGAGCUACAGACAAUGAUCGAAUGCAAAAGGGUGACUCACAGAUCGGGAAGAUCAGACCUAAUCCAUUCCAUGCAGGCACCAAAGCCAGUUUCAACGCACU
rnacentral:sRNA from 1 species